rnacentral:rRNA from 1 species
GUCUCUUGCGUACUUUGUUGCUUUGGCGGGCCCACUGUUUCACUCCGGUCGCCGGGGAGCGCUAUGCUCCCGGGCCCGUGCCCGCCAGAGCACCCCUGUGAACCCUGAUGAAGAGAGGCUGUCUGAGUCCCACGAUAAUCGUUAAAACUUUCAACAAUGGAUCUCUUGGUUCCGGCAUCGAUGAAGAACGCAGCGAAAUGCGAUAAGUAAUGUGAAUUGCAGAAUUCCGUGAAUCAUCGAAUCUUUGAACGCACAUUGCGCCCCCUGGCAUUCCGGGGGGCAUGCCUGUCCGAGCGUCAUUUCUGCCCUCAAGCGCGGCUUGUGUGUUGGGCGUGGUCCCCCUGGCUUUGGCGGGGACCUGCCCGAAAGGCAGCGGCGACGUCCCGCCUAGUCCUCGAGCGUAUGGGGCUCUGUCACGCGCUCGGGAGGGACUGGUGGGCGUUGGUCACCCCUUAUUCUUUCUACGGUUGACCUCGGAUCAGGUAGGAGUUACCCGCUGAACUUAAGCAUAUCAAUAAGCGGAGGAAUU